GAUGAACGCUAGCGGCAGGCCUAACACAUGCAAGUCGAGGGAUAAGCCUUCGGGCUGAAACCGGCGCACGGGUGCGUAACGCGUAUACAAUCUGCCUUUCACAUAGGGAUAGCCCGGAGAAAUUUGGAUUAAUACCUAAUGGUAUAUAAGAUUGGCAUCAUUUUUAUAUUAAAGCUUUGGUGGUGAAAGAUGAGUAUGCGUUCUAUUAGCUAGUUGGAGAGGUAACGGCUCCCCAAGGCGACGAUAGAUAGGGGUUCUGAGAGGGAUGUCCCCCACACUGGUACUGAGAUACGGACCAGACUCCUACGGGAGGCAGCAGUGAGGAAUAUUGGACAAUGGUCGGAAGACUGAUCCAGCCAUGCCGCGUGCAGGACGACGGUCCUAUGGAUUGUAAACUGCUUUUGUAAGGGAAGAAUAAGGAGUACGUGUACUUUGAUGACGGUACCUUACGAAUAAGCAUCGGCUAACUCCGUG
rnacentral:rRNA from 1 species